rnacentral:rRNA from 1 species
UACGGGGGGGGCUAGCGUUGUUCGGAAUUACUGGGCGUAAAGGGCGCGUAGGCGGUCUGCUAAGUUGGAUGUGAAAUCCUGGAGCUCAACUCCAGAACUGCCUUUGAUACUGAGGAUCUUGAGUUCGGGAGAGGUGAGUGGAACUGCGAGUGUAGAGGUGAAAUUCGUAGAUAUUCGCAAGAACACCAGUGGCGAAGGCGGCUCACUGGCCCGAUACUGACGCUGAGGCACGAAAGCGUGGGGAGCAAACAGG